GAGCCAGGGACUGGUAACAGCAUCUGUCACCAGCCUCAGACACAUGAGAUGGGAUGAGCCAGGGCUAGGUCGAUCCAGGGGCAGCAGGAUAUGAGACAGGAGAUGAGGCUGAAGUUGUGACUGGAGAGAAGACAACAAUGUGAACCUGAGGUCCACCUGGGAAGCUCUGUCAGAGAACCCAGGCAGGGGAAGUCAGGGUGGGGGUCCCAGUUGGGUCUGGUCAGGAUUUUAAGAACUAUUAGCAAUGACAGUGCCCUGACAGUACUCACAGUGGACAUAGUGAUCAGUUAGAUUCUUCUUUUUUGUGGAAGAUGCAUCUGCUGUUUUUAGCCUUUUCUUUUAAAUUAUACUUCUACACUCAUGGAAUGAAAAAAAGCGAAUUGUGAAAAUGUACUUUAAAAAGAAAGCAUUACUGAACAAUUUGACUCUUCAGUAAAACAGGACAACAAGCCACAUGCCCUACAAGUGGCUGAGGUUUCAGAUUUUCCUCAUGCAGCCAAAACCCACACUUGGCAAUACCCCAGUCUUCCAACUGGACUAUCAACUGGCAUAUUAAAAGUUCUUCCACAGCAUUGUCAAGACCUUAAUCUGCUGUCAUUUGUAGUGUUGGGGAAGAUGAAAAUUGACAUCCACAUACCAGAUGAAACUGCUCAGCAGAAGAGCCAGAAUUCUUUGGCUGUGAACUAAGAGGACCAUCUAGGACAUGAUUACACUCUGGAGGAUAUUCCAGUCAUGCAUACCACACUGUUAAUUUCUAACAUGCAGCAUCUCUUGUAAGACCCGACCCAAAUCCAUCUGAAACCCGGACUGUGUGUUCCUGAUUGACAUCCAUAACAUAGUCUGUUCUUCUUCUAGUUCCAUGGUUGUUCAAUCAUGGACUAAUACUGGGAUUCUGAAAGAAGCAAACAAGACUGAACACAGGUUACUGCCAGAGCCCCAUUUCUCUGCACAUCCACCCAGAGAUGCCGUCUGCUGAAAGAUAAGAAAAAACUGAAUGUAAAAAAUUUAGGAAUACUGAUGAGGAAAAAUCAUAUGAAAAUUGUAGUUAUGAUGUAAUGGUUUUAUCUUUAAUAUUAUUUAACUGUCUUAACCUUUAGCAGAAAAGUUCUGGUUUACUGUUAUUUUGUCUUUGCAUUUUCAGAUUUUCAUACAUUUCUGCUCAGAUGAGAAUUACAAAUAGCUAGCCUGGAAGGAAAUGAAAGAGGGCAUAGCUCAAGUUCAAAACUAGAAAGCAAACCUUAAAAACAUUUAUCAAGCACGAUUGUCCCAUAUUAUCAGGACACAUUAUUUUAUUUUUACUCUGGAGACCUAAUGAUUGUGCAGCUGCAAGGUGACAGAACACAAACCCUCAAAACAUACAGGUAGGCAAAGGGAGGCAGAGCACUGGGUCCCUGGAGCUGGGGAUAGGGCCCUGCUGGCUGGGAGGGCAGGGCAGGAUUAGGAUCAGGGCAGGAUCAGGACUUGCUUUCAGCAGCACUCUGCAGUUGCACCAGAUGAGGUGCAACACGAUACGGCAGAUUUUAGGGCUGCUAAAAACGUCGUGCAAACACCACUUUGUUUUUUUAUUUGUUUUGUUUCCAAAACUGAAGUUAGGUCACAUCCUGGCUUCUGAUCUGUAAUAUUAGAUUCGUGCACUUUCCUGGAGUUGACUGGGUUCACAGCUGCUUAGUUUUAUGCUGCUCCAGAGCAGGUGGCCUGAGAGAGUUAGACCAAUAAAAGAUGUGUAAGUAAACUUGUGUUUACUUUUUUUAAUUUCUCCUCAUGAGCAUUAUAGUCACAUGGCUGUUCUCUAUGACUCUGCAAACUAUGGUACUCAAGGGAUGCAGUCAUUGCAAAUAAUGAAAAUGAUAUACUGUUAAUCCACUGGCUUCUAAAAAAAAAGUCUUUAUAGUGCUUAUGGAACAGAAUAGAGACUUAUUUGGAUAAUGUCUACUGUAUUAAACACAUUCUUACAUGCAUGGUACAUUUAUCUUUAGAGUCAGAUCCUCUCUCACUGAGAAUAUCUGCUGAAGACACAAAUACGGAAUGAUGAC